rnacentral:ncRNA from 1 species
ACAAAGACGUGGAAGAGAAGAGUAGUUGGCAGAAUACCUUUCAGAGAGUUUCCGGUUGGUGUGAAGGAAGCAGGGAUAUGUUGAUGAAGAUGGUCUUGGAGUCGUAUGGUCGAGCUGAUGAAGUUAGAUCAUAACGGGUGCACCCGUUACAGUGCCAGAGUAUAAUCCGUUAUUUGACGGCCGUACUUGUUGAGGUUUGCUUCGUGAGGAGCAGAUGAAUUUAGGUGGUACCACGAAUUUACGCUUUCGUCCUAAUG